UGUUGGUGGAGAGUUCCAAAGGGAUCGCAUUGAUCUAAUUCUUGAUCUUCCUGCAUGCAUUUGCUUGCAGUUCUGCUUUUGAGCCAUAUUUUACCGGUUCACUGACUUGGAUCAUGCGAUCCCUUAGGAAUUCUCCAUCGCC
rnacentral:pre_miRNA from 1 species